rnacentral:tRNA from 1 species
GGAGACGUGGCCGAGUGGUCGAAGGCGCUCCCCUGCUAAGGGAGUAUACCUCAAAAGGGUAUCGUGGGUUCGAAUCCCAUCGUCUCCG